rnacentral:rRNA from 1 species
GAUGAACGCUGGCGGCGUGCCUAAUACAUGCAAGUCGAGCGAACGGACGAGAAGCUUGCUUCUCUGAUGUUAGCGGCGGACGGGUGAGUAACACGGGGAUAACCUACCUAUAAGACUGGGAUAACUUCGGGAAACCGGAGCUAAUACCGGAUAAUAUUUUGAACCGCAUGGUUCAAAAGUGAAAGACGGUCUUGCUGUCACUUAUAGAUGGAUCCGCGCUGCAUUAGCUAGUUGGUAAGGUAACGGCUUACCAAGGCAACGAUGCAUAGCCGACCUGAGAGGGGGAUCGGCCACACUGGAACGGAGACACGGUCAAGACUCCUACGGGAGGCAGCAGUAGGGAAUCUUCGGCAAUGGGCGAAAGCCUGACGGAGCAACGCCGCGUGAGUGAUGAAGGUCUUCGGAUCGUAAAACUCUGUUAUGAGGGAAGAACAUAUGUGUAAGUAAAUGUGCACAUAUUGACGGUACCUAAUCAGAAAGCAACGGCUAACUACGUG